UACGUGGGGUGCGAGCGUUAUCCGGAUUUACUGGGCGUAAAGCGUACCGUCGGCGAUCUAGCAAGUUCUUUGUCUAAACCUGGGGCUCAACUCCAGAUCGGCAGGGAAAACUGUUAGAAUUGAGUCUGUUCGGGGAACUUGGAAUUCUCGGUGGAGGGGUGAAAUCCGUAGAUAUCGAGAGGAACGCCAAGCGCGAAGGCAGGGUUCUAGAACACGACUGACGCUCAUGGACGACAGCUAGGGGAGCAAAAGGG
rnacentral:rRNA from 1 species